UUCCCACCACGGUCCACGCUCCGACCGUCGAGAUCUUCCAUUCCUGCGACUCCUCUUGGGUCCAACUCUACUGUUUAGCCUCUAAUUUUGCCCCUGCCCCAGUUACCAUCCAAUGGGAAGCCAAAGAAAACGCCCAAAACUUUUUGGGGGACGUCGAUCCCGUCGCUUCCGACACAGUUUCCGGUACUUUCCGCGCCGGAUCGAGGCUCAACGUUUCCUUGGAGGAUUGGAUGGAGAAAACUUUCUCUUGUAAAGUUUCCCACGCGGCUUCCGGCACCGUCCAGGACGUCGUCGCGCACAAAUGUUCCCGUAAGGACCUUGGGUGA